rnacentral:lncRNA from 1 species
UCCUUGUUACCACCACCAACAUGGGACCAAAUAUUACUAACAGGUAGAUAGGCAUAAGAGCCUUGGAUAUGGCAACAUUCACCUUACCACUGGUCUUGCUUCUAGACUAUUCCUUACCUGGGGAAUUACCUAUUGUGGAAAAGAGACUAAUUAUACCCACCAUCUUUUAAACAAUGAUCACUUACAGAGUAGGCAAGUCAUGUUAGGUGGGGAAGCAUGGCAGGUCAGGCCAUCAUUGCCAUUACUCCCACAACCUUGACUAUCCUCUCCCCUUAUACUUUUAUGAAAACAGCCUAGGAUUCUGAAACUAAGUGCCUUGACAAUGUCACUGUCUCCAAUCUAGGAUCCUUAGUCAUCAUUCUGGGAAGCAACAUUUGUAGAGAUUGUAGUAAGGAAAGGAAAUUAUAGCAAGAACAAUAUUGACAGCCCUGGAUUGCAAGCUACUGGAUCAGGGUUCCAAACUGUUGAAGAGACAGUUUUUCCAAAAGCACUCCGGAGCAAGUUGAAGGAGAAAGGGCUGAAACAUAUUGGAAAUCCAACCAUCAAACAACUGACUUUGAGGAUUUAUGAGCUGUGGUGACUCCAGUCUUCCUGGUGGACAGUUGGACUGGGGAAAAGAUCAUUAACUUGCUCAGACAUCUGAGGACAUCAGUGAACUCCUGUACCUCACUCACCAAGAACUCACUCCUUAGCUGCAGGAAGUGGAGAGAAUCCCAGGAGACAAUUACCAAAGAAGAAAAUUUUGGCAUUGUGUCAUCGACAGCUUCCUCAAAACUCCCCCCCAGAUUCACAUUUAAUUUCUCAUGUAAACCUGCAAUAUAUUGGAACCACAAUGGAGGAAGUUGCAAUGUGGAAGAAAUGUCUAUACUUCCAAUAAAGGAACAGUAGAUUUUAAGGUAAAAUUGAUUCAAUUCCCUCUCUAUUUUUAUUAUGAAAUUGAUAUUAUAUGAGAGAA